rnacentral:rRNA from 1 species
GACUACUGGGGUAUCUAAGCCUGUUUGCUCCCCACGCUUUCGUGCCUCAGCGUCAAUACAGGUCCAGCAAGCUGCCUUCGCAAUCGGUGUUCUAUGACAUAUCUAUGCAUUUCACCGCUACAUGUCACAUUCCGCCUACCUCAACCUGAUUCAAGUAAAGCAGUAUCAAUCGCAGUCCCUUCGGUUAAGCCGAGGAAUUUCACGACUGACUUACCUCACCGCCUACGCACCCUUUAAACCCAGUGAUUCCGGAUAACGCUUGCACCCUCCGUAUUACCGCGGCUGCUGGCACGGAGUUAGCCGGUGCUUAUUCUGAUGGUACCCUCAGCACCCGAUAAAUCGAGUGGUUUGUCCCCAUCCAAAAGAAGUUUACAACGCUGAGCGCCUUCAUCCUUCACGCGGCAUGGCUGGAUCAGACUUUCGUCCAUUGUCCAAUAUUCCUUACUGCAGCCUCCCGUAGG